ACCGGAUAAGUCUUUACGGAGAAAGCUUUAUGCACCAUUGGAUGAGCCCGCACUAGAUUAGUUUGUUGGUGGGGUAAUGGCCUACCAAGACUGUGAUCUAUAGCUGAUUUGAGAGGAUGAUCAGCCACAUUGGGACUGAGACACGGCCCAAACUCCUACGGGAGGCAGCAGUGGGGAAUCUUGCACAAUGGAGGAAACUCUGAUGCAGCGAUGCCGCGUGAGUGAAGAAGGCCUUUGGGUUGUAAAGCUCUUUCGUCGGGGAAGAAAAUGACUGUACCCGAAUAAGAAGGUCCGGCUAACUUCGUGCCAGCAGCCGCGGUAAUACGAAGGGACCUAGCGUAGUUCGGAUUUACUGGGCUUAAAGAGUUCGUAGGUGGUUGAAAAAGUUGGUGGUGAAAUCCCAGAGCUUAACUCUGGAACUGCCAUCAAAACUUUUCAGCUAGAGUAUGAUAGAGGAAAGCAGAAUUUCUAGUGUAGAGGUGAAAUUCGUAGAUAUUAGAAAGAAUACCAAUUGCGAAGGCAGCUUUCUGGAUCAUUACUGACACUGAGGAACGAAAGCAUGGGUAGCGAAGAGGAUUAGAUACCCUCGUAGUCCAUGCCGUAAACGAUGUGUGUUAGACGUUGGAAAUUUAUUUUCAGUGUCGCAGCGAAAGCGAUAAACACACCGCCUGGGGAGUACGACCGCAAGGUUAAAACUCAAAUGAAUUGACGGGGACCCGCACAAGUAGUGGAGCAUGUGGUUUAAUUCGAAGAUACGCGCAGAACCUUACCAACACUUGACAUGUUCGUCGCGACUCUAAGAGAUUAGAGUUUUCGGUUCGGCCGGACGAAACACAGGUGCUGCAUGGCUGUCGUCAGCUCGUGUCGUGAGAUGUUGGGUUAAGUCCCGCAACGAGCGCAACCCUCACUUUUAGUUGCCAUCAUUAAGUUGGGCACUCUGAAAGAACUGCCAGUGAUAAGCUGGAGGAAGGUGGGGAUGACGUCAAGUCCUCAUGGCCCUUACGUGUUGGGCUACACACGUGCUACAAUGGUAUCUACAACAGGAAGCAAGACUGCGAGGUCAAGCAAAUCCUUAAAAGAUACCUCAGUUCGGAUUGCACUCUGCAACUCGAGUGCAUGAAGCUGGAAUUACUAGUAAUCGUGGAUCAGCGUGCCACGGUGAAUGCGUUCCCGGGUCUUGUACACACCGCCCGUCACACCAUGGGAGUUGGUUCUACCUUAAGGCAAGGUUUCAAACCCUUGACCACGGUAUAGUCAGCGACUGGGGUGAAGUCGUAACAAGGUAGCCGUAGGGGAACCUGCGGCUG
rnacentral:rRNA from 1 species